AUUAAGAGACUUUGGGUUAGACUGAUACAUUUUCUUAGACAAAACACAAACAAUAUCAUUUAUAAGAUUUUAAUCACUAGACUAAUUCUUCACUAUUUAUGACUUAUAACUUAAAAAGUUUUAAUGUUACAAAAAAGUGAUAAAAAAAGAUUUACCAUUUUUUUUUGAUUAAAAAUAUUAUGUGUUUAAAACUCAAAAUAUUUUUGUCUUAAAUCAGAAUAUAUAAAAAAAAUUAAAAUAAUUAUGCGAUGUCUGCCAAGCACUUUUACAUAAUCGUAUCGUUUAUUCCAUUGGGAAAAUUCAAUCAUAUUAUUUUUUCUUAUAAUUUCAUGUUGUAUAUUUGUUAAUUUCGACUUUCAUUGAUUAGCUAUUGUAUGUACAUUGGACAAUUUAUCUUGAUUUUUUUUUACCAUCGACUUAAUUACAACUAGAUCUCGAUCAGCGCAACCGCACAAGUUUUUGUUUUCAUUUAUUUUUAUAUAAACAUUUUGUUUUCAAUUCUAAAUUGGUAGAUGUUAUAAUAUGUAUGUGUCUAUCAAUUUUUAAAACGUAAUAAAUUUACAGUAUAUUUUUUUCAUUGAAUAGAUUGUUUCAAGCUUUCACAUGUUUUUGUAUCUUCUUAUAUAUAUAUAUAUAUAUUUUUUUUUUUUUGGAUUAUUAUUUCAUUAUUAAAAUCAUAAAUAUAUAUAUAAAGAUUAGUAAAAUAUUGUUUUAUUAUCAUAUUUAAAGAUAUUGCAAAAUUUCACAAAUUUAGAAAAAAAUUUAAAAAUUAAACUUUUCGCUUCAUUGAUUUAUAUUAUCGAGUAAAUAAUUAAACAUUUAGUUUUU
rnacentral:lncRNA from 1 species